rnacentral:rRNA from 1 species
UUCGCAAUGCCCGAAAGGGUGACGAAGCGACGCCGCGUGUGGGAAGAAGGCCUUCGGGUUGUAAACCACUGUCGGGAGUUAAGAAAUGCAAGGAUAUUAAUAGUGUCUUUGUUUGACUAAGGCUCCGGAGGAAGCCACGGCUAACUCUGUGCCAGCAGCCGCGGUAAUACAGAGGCGGCAAGCGUUGUUCGGAAUUAUUGGGCGUAAAGAGCACGUAGGCGGCUAUGUAAGUCGGUUGUGAAAGCCUUCCGCUCAACGGAAGAACAGCAUCCGAUACUACAUGGCUUGAGUGCGGGAGGGGAGAGUGGGACUUCUGGUGGAGCGGUGAAAUGCGUAGAUAUCAGAAGGAACGCCGGCGGCGAAAGCGGCUCUCUGGCCCAUAACUGACGCUGAGUGUGCGAAAGCUAGGGGAGCAAACGGGAUUAGAUACCCCGGUAGUCCUAGCCGUAAACGAUGGGCACUAAGUAGAGGGGUUUU